rnacentral:misc_RNA from 1 species
GAUGAAGAACGUAGCGAAAUGCGAUACGUAAUGUGAAUUGCAGAAUUCAGAGAAUCAUCGAGUCUUUGAACGCACAUUGCGCCCCCUGGUAUUCCGGGGGGCAUGCCUGUCCGAGCGUCAUUGCUGCCCUCAAGCACGGCUUGUGUGUUGGGCCUCCGUCCUCCUCCCGGGGGACGGGCCCGAAAGGCAGCGGCGGCACCGCGUCCGGUCCUCGAGCGUAUGGGGCUUCGUCACCCGCUCUUGUAGGCCCGGCCGGCGCUUGCCGACACAUCAAUCUUUUUCCCAGGUUGACCUCGGAUCAGGUAGGGAUACCCGCUGAACUUAAGCAUAUCAAUAAGCGGAGGA